rnacentral:rRNA from 1 species
CCUACGGGAGGCAGCAGUAGGGAAUCUUCCACAAUGGGCGAAAGCCUGAUGGAGCAACGCCGCGUGGGUGAAGAAGGUCUUCGGAUCGUAAAACCCUGUUGUUAGAGAAGAAAGUGCGUGAGAGUAACUGUUCACGUUUCGACGGUAUCUAACCAGAAAGCCACGGCUAACUACGUGCCAGCAGCCGCGGUAAUACGGAGGGGGCAAGCGUUAUCCGGAUUUAUUGGGCGUAAAGGGAACGCAGGCGGUCUUUUAAGUCUGAUGUGAAAGGCUGCGGCUUAACCGGAGUAGUGCAUUGGAAACUGGGAGACUUGAGUGCAGAAGAGGAGAGUGGAACUCCAUGUGUAGCGGUGAAAUGCGUAGAUAUAUGGAAGAACACCAGUGGCGAAAGCGGCUCUCUGGUCUGUAACUGACGCUGAGGUUCGAAAGCGUGGGUAGCAAACAGGAUUAGAUACCCUUGUAGUC